rnacentral:siRNA from 1 species
GGCGUUUUUGUACUGGGCUUCGAA